CCUUUACAGGGAAAGUUUUAACGCCGAAAGAUGAGCCCGCACUUGAUUAGCUAGUUGGUAAGGUAAAAGCUUACCAAGGCAACGAUCAAUAGCUGUUCUUAGAGGAAGACCAGCCACAUUGGGACUGAGACACGGCCCAGACUCCUACGGGAGGCAGCAGUGGGGAAUCUUGCACAAUGGGGGAAACCCUGAUGCAGCGAUGCCGCGUGAGUGAAGAAGGCCUUUGGGUUGUAAAACUCUUUCGUCGGGGAAGAAAAUGACUGUACCCGAAUAAGAAGGUCCGGCUAACUUCGUGCCAGCAGCCGCGGUAAUACGAAGGGACCUAGCGUAGUUCGGAAUUACUGGGCUUAAAGAGCUCGUAGGUGGUUAAAAAAGUUGAUGGUGAAAUCCCAAGGCUCAACCUUGGAACUGCCAUCAAAACUUUUUAGCUAGAGUGUGAUAGAGGUAAGUGGAAUUUCUAGUGUAGAGGUGAAAUUCGUAGAUAUUAGAAAGAACACCAAAUGCGAAGGCAACUUACUGGGUCACAACUGACACUGAGGAGCGAAAGCAUGGGUAGCGAAGAGGAUUAGAUACCCUCGUAGUCCAUGCCGUAAACGAUGUGUGCUAGACGUUGGAAAUAUAUUUUUCAGUGUCGCAGCGAAAGCAUUAAGCACACCGCCUGGGGAGUACGACCGCAAGGUUAAAACUCAAAUGAAUUGACGGGGACCCGCACAAGCAGUGGAGCAUGUGGUUUAAUUCGAAGAUACGCGCAGAACCUUAC
rnacentral:rRNA from 1 species